UACGUAGGGUGCAAGCGUUAAUCGGAAUUACUGGGCGUAAAGCGUGCGCAGGCGGUUUUGUAAGUCUGUCGUGAAAUCCCCGGGCUCAACCUGGGAAUUGCGAUGGAGACUGCAAGGCUAGAAUCUGGCAGAGGGGGGUAGAAUUCCACGUGUAGCAGUGAAAUGCGUAGAUAUGUGGAGGAACACCGAUGGCGAAGGCAGCCCCCUGGGCUAAGAUUGACGCUCAUGCACGAAAGCGUGGGGAGCAAACAGG
rnacentral:rRNA from 1 species